UCUUCCUUUAUUUACUUAUAUUGAUUUUUUUUUUUCUAAAAUAACGUUUCUUCUCCCUCUAAUCUCUGCUAACCACACCGCUUCGACCCUUUCUUGAUUUCGAUCCCUGCUACCCCCGCCGGAUCCGCCGCUUCGAUCCCUGCUACCCCCGUCAUUUCGAUCUUGUCGGUUGCUCCCUUAAUGCCUGAAAAAUGAGUUUGGUUCAUUCUCGCUCCUUCUUUCGUCGCCUCCGUUUUGUUUUCCUGUUGCUUUGAUCCCCUCUAUCAGCACCUCUGCUGCUUCGAUCCCGGCGAUUGGUCCCCUCUGCUGAUAAAAAUAUAGUUUGUUUUGUUUUAUUGCCGCUUGGGAUCGUUCAGUUUUAAAACGGUAAAUAAGUAUGAAAACGCAUCUGGUUGAGUUUGAACUCGGUCAAGCUGGCUAUAAAUCAAAAUUUUUAACUAAGUGAAGAAGCUCUGUUCUAAAAACUAAACUGCAAUUAACGAGAGAGGUUGCCCGACGUAGUUGAUGAGCAUUUUGAACUUGCUCCUGCCCUGAGAGGCGAGCUCCAAAUGCAUCUCCAUAGUCAUGACGUCUGCGUUCUGUCAUAGCUUUCCGAUCGACAAGGUGCACUGCUCCUCGAGCUCCCUGACUAUCGUCGCUGCCCUCACCCACCACCCCAGCUAUGCAUGCGGUGCCACACCACCACCUCUGCCACUGCACACCGGGGGAAAAAAGAGAGAAAAUUAUAUACUAUAUACUUGAAAUGGUUGUUGUUCUUAUUAUUAUGGUGUAACUUUUGUUUUGCGAGGAAUGAAAAAAAUGGCAUGCUACUUGUAAGGUACCGGACUUCUAAAACUAUUAAGUUACGGUUUACAUUCGAUUGGAGAGCCAUUUGAAUGGUCCCGGUGAAGUUUGAUGAGGUUCGGGAGCUAUCGGGUGUUUCGGUGCGCGUAGGCGCUAAAACGGACCCGAAAGGCUAACUUGGGCCGUGAGCUAAAUCCGGA